GUGAGGAAUAUUGCGCAAUGGAGGCAACUCUGACGCAGCCAUGCCGCGUGCAGGAAGAAGGCGCUACGCGUUGUAAACUGCUUUUAACCGGGAAGAAACCCCAGGACGUGUCCUGGGUUGACGGUACCGGAGGAAUAAGCACCGGCUAACUUCGUGCCAGCAGCCGCGGUAAUACGAAGGGUGCAAGCGUUAUCCGGAUUCAUUGGGUUUAAAGGGUGCGUAGGCGGAGCGUUAAGUCAGUGGUGAAAUCCUGCAGCUUAACUGUAGACUUGCAAUUGAUACUGGCGCUCUUGAGUGCGCUUGAAGUGGGCGGAAUGUGCCGUGUAGCGGUGAAAUGCUUAGAUAUGGCACAGAACACCAAUUGCGAAGGCAGCUCACUAAGGCGAUACUGACGCUGAGGCACGAAAGCGUGGGGAUCGAACAGGAUUAGAAACCCUGGUAGUCC
rnacentral:rRNA from 1 species